GGGAGCGUCCUUGAGCAAAGCGCCACGCCCCGCGAGGGUAAGCGAUCUACGCCCUACCCCACCGGAGAGCUUCUGGGCGCGUCCCCUUCUCCGGGAGACCUAAGGAGGGCAACCACCGCUCCCAAUCUCCCUUGGCGGCGAGAACUGGAGGCAGGUGCACCCACCACUAGAAUUUGAACAUCCUAAGAACAGGUAUUUUUGUCUCUGCUUUGCUGAUGUAUCCUCAGCAACCGGAACUGCCUGACAUCUGAUCCUUUCUGUGAGACACCAGGCUGUUGAGGAAGAAUCUAUGGCAACAUUGUAUCUAUUAAUAUACAGCUUCUGUAUUUAUCAGGCCCAGUUCUGGUGAUGAUUUCACUUUUGACAGAAGCUGUCCCUCAAAAGCAAACAUGCAAUAGAAGAAACAGAUCUCAAUGCCAUCCAUCUGCAGUUGUGACAAGCAAAAAAGUCUCCAGACAUGGCCAAAUGUCCCCUGGGGGGCAAAAUCACCCCCAAUUGAGAACUACUGCUCUAAACUAUGGAGUCUCACUCUGUCACCCAGGAUGGAGUACAGUGGCGUGAUCUCGGCUCACUGCAAGCUCCGCCUCCUGGGUUCAUGCCAUUCUCCUGCCUUAGCCUCCCGAGUAGCUGGGACUACAGGCGCCUGCCACCACGCCCGGCUAAUUUUUGUAUUUUUAGUAGAGACAGGGUUUCACCGCAUUAGCCAGGAUGGUCUCGAUCUCCUGACCUCGUGAUCCGCCCGCCUCAGCCUCCCAAAGUGCUGGGAUUACAGGCGUGAGUCACUGUGCCCAGCCAAGUUUAGUAUUUUUUGUAGAGACAGAGUUUCACCAUGUUGGCCAGGCUGGUCUUGCACUCAUGGCCUCAAGUGAUCCACCUGCCUCGGCCUCCGAAAGUGCUGGGAUUACAGGCGUAAGCCACUGUGCCUGGCCUUAAAUGGGUAAAUUUCAUAUGGUAUAUGAAUUAUAUUUCACUAAAACUUUAAGAAAACAUUAUACAGUACUGUUCAAAUUUUAAGUGGUCCAAUUUAAAUGCACUAUUGUAUACAAUUCUAUGUAAUGUCCUUACCAUGGUAUAUGUUAACUAUAAAUAUCUAUGCCCCUACCCUUAGUAUCAAAGCAUAUAUUAUAUGCCAGUGAGCCAAGCCCCACAUGUCUGUGAAAUGUGGUCUUCUAGCCAUAGAAGUAGCUUGUGCUCCUAGGGUAUUCCUUGAGGCUCUGUAUGAAGAAUGUCCAUUUGUUUGAGUCCCUAACCUACAGAAUAUUCCUGACCAUGGAAAUGUGAUAGAUAGGAGUAAGCACAUGGACCAAAAGGCCUGGAGGCUCAUCAUUUAAGGUACAAGCCAAUUAUGUAGUCUUUGAAAGAAUGCUUUGAAAUUCAGCUUGCUUGAUUCAAUUCCCAAUAUUUUCAUUUGUAUUAAAAGAUUUGGCCCUUACAGGUUAAAAACAAUGUCAGUGUAACCAAGUGACAUUCAAAUUUUGGCUCCCAACAUGUGAUAUGACAUCACUUCAUGUGAAAAUAGCGAAGCUCCAAACAUUUUCUUUCAGUCACCUUAUUAAGCUCGCUGAGCCCUGACAGCCUAAUGAAAGGCUAAGGGGGAAGAAAAUGUCCCAACUUCUACACUGUUGAAGAUGGGCUAAUGAGAGGUUAGCUUGCAAGAAUCAUUCUUUCUUGGCAUCCUGCUUCUGACUGCUUGGCUUUCAGCUUAUACCCAGCAUGAAAAUUUAAUUUCCUCGCAGUUGAAGGUAGUUUAAAGCUUAUUACUCACAUGCUAAAAUGUUGAUGUAUCUGUUUUUGUGCUUGUUUUCUGGAUGAUUGGAAUGCUCUGCAGUGAUGUUCAUAUCAGCAGUACAGCGCUGGACUUCCUAGUGAAGAAAACAGCAAGAUUAUAGACACAGUUUAGAAACAAAGGAACACCAUAUACAUUUAAAGGCAUAAAGUAUUUACUCACUCCCUGGCCACAGCCACCGUUACCUUCUCAAUCCCAACUUCGGAUAUAAUUAUUGAUAUAUUUAUAACGAGUUUAUGAAGAAUGUGAAAAAGGUAUAAAGAUUUCAUUAUUUACUAUUUCAUCAAUCAUCUACUUUUUUCUAGUUUUUGACCUAGUCCCUGAGAUGUAAAACAAUAUCUCUUUUUGAAUACAUCAUAGUCUAUGGGUGAGAAAAAUAUUCAAAAAGAUAGUCAAACAUGAUGAAUACAAAAGAGGCCUGAGAAAGCUCUGAUGGGAGCACAGAACAGAGGAAGGCUUUAGACAGGUGAAAAAAUUUACCUAAGUCUUAAAGGAAGAAAGGGAAUUUCUAAGAAGUAUAAUCUCUACCAUGAUUUGCAAUAUGCUUACAGGCCUUAUAGCCUCAUUUUAUAAUUGUGAGGGUGCAUUGACUCUAAAGACUCAGUGCUGAAAUAACCCUAAUAACAGCCCAACUAAUGGUCAUAUCUCAUAUAUACAGUCUUGACAAAUUAUUUGUGAACUCUAGUAUUUUAAAAGUUAUCCUUCUUUGGAAAAAUAGCAGUAGCAGAAAUAACACUCUUAUCCUACCUUGGCCGUGGAUUUAAACGUCAUCCAUUAGCCUAAUACAACGUUGCUGAAAAGCCAAAUUUUUCUACACUAUAUGCUUCAAACCCAAGAAAGUACUGGAGCUGACUAAUAAGGGAAGUCAUUAGCAGUACACAGCUGCUACAAAGAGCCUGAACAAAGUAACACAAAAUUAUCAGGAGAAAUGUUUUACACAGAACAGAUGUAGCAGAGUUUAGAAGCAUGCAGACUUUUUUUUUCCACAAAGGAGUUGCCUAGUAAUUAUGCAUGUUUUCCAUAGUAUUUACAUUAAACAUAAUGAAAACAAUGAACUGGUUGUCUUUUAUAUUCACAAAGUACUUCCCCAGGGAGAAGUACACUUCUUCUCUAGAAGGAGGAAGUUACUGUACUCAAAGAAUUUAAGGUAUAAAAGCAAAGAAUUUCUGUGUGUUCAAAGAAACAGUAUUCAAUGACUCUCCAAUUGUUGGACACUGUAAAUUGAAGUUUCCAUAAUUAUAGUCCUUCCCAGCUGUCCAUUUAAAAAAAAAAAAAAAAGCCCCACAGGCAUUAAUUCAAUCCACCUUUCUGGGAAAGUGUGUUUAAUGACAGUUCUUACCCUUUCCUUACUCUUACUAAACUCCAAUAUAUUCUGUUCUAACAUAGUUUAUAACCUAUGGUUUGGAAAACACUGGUUUAAGGAGCUUUAAGGCUGCCCUUUGGCUCUUCUCUAAAAUGAGAUAAUAAAGUGUGAUCACAAAUCAGUCUACGUAAGAACAUGAGCAAUGCUAGCCAAACUUAGCACGUUGGGACCUGCCUUUUGAAACUGCCUUAUAAGCUCUGAGCCAUGCUCUUUUGAAGAGUUUCAAGGGCAGACAACUUUUGAAAAUGGAUUUGAAACAAGUUAGUCUUUUGUUUUCGGGUUUUGAAGGUCACACCUUUGGCAUGUACUUCUUUAGGGUUGAGUUGUUCAGGUAUCUUAUGCUGAGAGAUUUUGGCUUUUAGUACCUUAGUCUGAGAUUUACUUUGUUUAUUGAUUUUUUUUUCCUGUUGUAUAGAUCUGACCACCCUAGCUAUGGACUGAAGUUGGAGCCUCUUUUCUAAUAUAAUGCAAUUGACCAAGACUGCUUGGGAGCAGCUGUCAGUAUUGUUUAAAGCUGUCAUUCAAUAUGGCCAAACUCUUUGUUAUCUAAAACCCCUUGUCUGAUCUGUUGCCUCUGUUUCACUUUUCCAAUUAGAUGAAUGACAGAAACAAAAAAUCGUAAUAAAUAUUGUCAAAUCUGAUUUUAUUAGAACCCAUGGGGUUUGCCUGAGGCCUUCUGAUUUUGUCAUGUAGAUAAUAAUGUCAUCUGUAAUUCCUUGCAGUACUGCCUGGCUCAUUUAGAUGCUGAUAAUAUCAUCUGAUCUGGGAGUGGCUUUUCUCUAUCAGAACUGCCAUUUCAAAGUUAACAGGAUUUUAGUGUGUUAAAAACCCUUUAAAGAGACACUGGCCAAUGGAGUAUGCAUUGUAAAUUUACCUAUUCAGAACUUGAUAAAUAGUUUAAGCUUGUUUAUAUUUUACUCCCUAUGUAACAAAGCUAGAAUUCUCAAAAAGAACAGUUUGAAUCUUAACAGGCACAUAAGCAUAGGAGAAGGCCAACAUAAAACAGGUGUAAAAUAAAGCAAAAAAUCGAAGACUGAACAAACCCUAAAAAUUGAUGUAACGAGAAUUUUAGGGAGGUGAUGUAGGCUAAAUCACUUCCUACCUACAGUCAUUGAUGCAAGAGGCUAUUUAAAGAGCACUUAAAGACCUACUGUCCUACUAUACUGUGGCUCAAUUCAAAAAAAUAAUGCAACAAAACUUCUAGAAAUCUUUCAGAUUGCUCAGUUCCAAAAAGGUAGCUGAGAAUAAAUUAUUUGGAUCUGGUUACCAAGUAUUACACCAAGUAGGGGUAACAUUCUUAGUGCCUGAGUUCAGGCAGCCUACAAUUGUGGUAAAGAGACUGUUCUACAGAUGACUGAUGGGUUUAGGUCAUGGUAGUGACCCAGUGCAUGUACAGUGUCGGACACAGAACUGGCCUUUGACAGGUGCUGGUUACACUGCAUCUUCCAGCCCCUACUCUCUCCUGCUCAGGGUAUAAAUUGCUGCCAGACUGAUUUUCCUCAAACGUUGUGCUGACUUUGUUAUUCCCUUCCUCAGAAACGUGUGGAGAGAUUCCACAUUCCCUUAGCCAGGCUUUCAAGGUCCCAUCUUAUCUUCCCCACCCUUCCCAAUCCCAGACAAUAUUAACUCCAUACCCUUUGAAAAGACCAUUUGAUUUCCUGCUUAUUGCUUUAUUGCCAUUUACCUUGGUAAGAAUGCCUGUUCUCUUCCUGUAUCCAAAUCCAUGUAUCUUUAUCAAAAUGACUGCAUUUGCCCCCUAGAAAACUAACCUAUCUUUGGAGAGUAUAACACAGCAUUAUUAUCCUGCAGCUGGUCUCUAGCAUAAGAAUUAUUUUUCAUGAAAUCUGGCUAUCUCCCUUUUAUCUCCCUCUUCACCAAAAUCUCAAAAAACUGUGAUUUACCUCAUAACCGUUUAAAAACGUUUUUCUUAAGAUAUUUAAGACCCAAACUGGCAUUUUUGUCAAAAACGCUGAGGAAACUAACUCUACAGCAAGCUUAUCCAAUCCAUGGCCCACAGGCCACAGGCGGCCCAGGAUGGCUUUGAAAGCAGCCCAACACAAAUUCGUAAACUUUCUUAAAACAUUGAGGGUUUUUUUUUUCCCUGCAAUUUUUUAGCUCAUCAGCUCUCAUUAGUGUAUUUUAUGUGUGGCCCAAGACAUUUCUUCUUCCAAUGUGGCCUAGGGAAGCCAAAAGAUUGGACAGCCCUGCCUACAGGCUCAUUUUCUGCCCUCUUGCAGGCAGCAGUCGGUGCAGCAUUACACCUCUGACCAGAGACUUCCCUAUUAUACAUCAUCAGCAGCCCUGGACAUCUCCCUUCAUUUCCUAAAGUGAUUGUGGCCACUGGUCCCUCAGAGCAUGGGCUCAGGUGGACUAAGCUUUGUUCUUUUGAUUUAAGAUGAACAACCAGCCCAAAUUUAGCACAGCUGGUUAACUGUAAUAGAGGCAGUCCCCCAAAGGAUCUUGUCCAGGGGCUGUGGACUUCUGGCCUCAUCCUGCACUCUUUUAGACUUCUGAUUCUACCAGUCCCUGCCUGUUAAUUCUUCUGACUCAUGGAGCUUUGGAGUGCCUUCCUUUUGAAAGAGUAUGCUAGCACUGGUCUUUUGGAAGCCUUCUGCAUUAUGUUUGUGGGGGCCAAGGAAGAGGCUGUCAAUCUUUUAAUACUACUCUGGGAAACUACUCCCUGGGAAGGACAAUGAGGUUGAAGUUAGCUCAGGUAGCCAAGGUAAUGGUGUCAUCCAACGCUAUCACAAGAAAAGGACUGAUGUUAUUUCUAGUGACUGCAAAUACUGUAUGAUGUUGCUUUUCACGGUCUCUAGAAUUUAUUUGACAAGAACAAAAAGCUGGCUUACAGCAACACUUCUAGACAAAGAGUCAAAGGUACCAGUGAAUUGUUUUUCUCAUUCUCCAAGCAGUAAAGUUCUGAAACUACGAUAGUUAUUCACCAACAUUUUUUUACUUCCGAGAUGUUUAAACAUGAUGGAUGAGAAUUUUUGCUGAAAUCUCCAAUGAAAAUACAUAGAUGCCUUUCUCCUUUGCACUUCUUCAGAACUUUAUGCCUGUACAAUAGCACUUAUUUUGCUUUGUCCUGUUUCUGUUUUGGUUGUGUACACUCUGGCCUCCCCCAGUACCAGAUUGAACUCUUUGAGGGCAAGGACUCUAAUUCAUAUUUGUAUCUUAUAUUAUGUCCAGAGAAUGGUAGAUCAUCAGUAACUGUUAGAUGGGUUGUUUUAGCUCCUCUUAAUGUCCAGUUGUUAACUUUUCAGUUGUAUUUCUCAUAAUUUUAAGACUAAUUUUAGGCCUACAUGUUGGAUAAGAUUUUUAUAAGUCGUAUUCUCAGCUAUCUUAGAAGGCUCGAGACCAUAAAGAUCAUGUAAUGGGCAGCUAAUACUCCUAGUGGGGGGGGUUCCUAAUUUGGCUGCUCUCCCCACUUUUGUAUUGUUAAGGCACCGAGGCAUGAUCAUUUCUAGUCACUUGCAAGCUUCCUUAUUUCUCCUUCUGACCUUGGCUCAUUACAGGACAUUACUCUGGCUUUUUGGUGUUUUUUCCUGAGACAGGGUCUUGCUCUGUCGCUCAGGCUGGAGUGCAGUGGUACGGUCAUAGGUCACUGCAGCCUCAAUAUCCUGGGCUCAAGUGAUCCUCCUGCCUCAGCCUCAGCCUCUGAAUAGCUAGGACCACAGUUGUGCGUCACCACACCUGGCUAAUUAAAAAAAAUUUUUUUUGUAGAGACAGAGUCUUGCUGUGUUGUCCAGGCUGGUUGGGAACUCCUGAUCUCAAGCGAUCCUCCCACCUUGUUCUCCCAAAGUGUUGGGAUUACAGGUGUGAGCCACUGUGCCUGGCCCAGGACACUACUUUAAUGAGAGUCUGGAUGGUGUCAAGGUGAACCAUGUGGGUUCAAGUCAGAUACCCUGGUCUUAAACCCUACUCCUGCCAUUUCAAAAUGUAGCCACCCACAGCCUCAGUUUUCUCAUGGGUAGUUUCGUCAUCAGUAAAAUGGGGACAAUAAGAUACACCUACCUCAGGAAAUAGAAUGAUCCAUGCACAGUGCUAACUAGUAAAUGCUGGCCAUCAUUAUUCCAGGUAAAUGGGUCUGGAAAUCUGAGACUAAGAUUACCUUAACUCUCUUACCAUAAUACAAUUUUGUUUUUAAUUACACAAAAUCUUUUUCUGUCCUUUCUUAUAAAGCCUGUUACUAUCUCUGUUUAUAAAAUAGCCGUAAUAGCUUCUUAUGUAGCCUAUUACCAGUUUUCCCUUUUAGCAGUUACCCAAAAGGAAUACUACUCUUUUAAAAGUACUUCAAAUUUUCACCUAAUUAUAAGGUGACAGUAGUAUUGGUGAGCUUUUCUAUUUUCUUAUUCUCCCCUUUACGUUGCUGCUUUGCUGUUCUUUUUAGAAGAAAGCAUAUUCUUCCUAUUGUGAACAGCUCUGAUUUUAAACCUUUCAAACCUGAAAAGACAGUGAAAUCACAACAGCCCUUUCACCUUCCUGCCUGCCCUCCCCAUUCCACUCCCAUAAGUAUCAGCUAAUACUAUUUAAGCUCUAAAGUUCAAUGUAGGCGAUUAAAGCUUUUAGCUGCAGUAUAUUUUUUUAGGACAGAAAUAGGGUACAGAUGCCCAGGAUUUGUUAAGAAGCAUGAUUUUGAUGCAGCAAAGCCCAUUUUAAGUCAGAUCAAGUUUACAGAGGUGUAGCUGAUUAUUUUGAAUAAUUAAAUGGUGUCAAAACCAGCUGUGAUGAAUAGCACUGGGGUCUCAAAUCAUAAAUAAUUGAGAAACUGGAGUUGCAUUUGAUCAUCCUGAUCAAAUUCGGCUCUCUAGAGGAUAAAUGUUUGUCCUGAAUACCAUCAACGUUGUUAAAUG
rnacentral:lncRNA from 1 species